AGGGAGGCAGAGAAUUCUGGAGCCAACAUCUUCCAGAAGGCAGGCUUUCUUUGGAGCAUGGAGGGUGUUAAAUGAGAAACUCCAGGGUAGUGUGUGUGAGAGAGAGAAUUGGGAAGAGAGAAAAAAGGUAUGAGAAGUGUCAGGCCUCUGAGCCCAAGCCAUCGCAUCCCCUGUGACUUGCACGUAUACAUCCAGAUGGCCUGAAGUAACUGAAGAUCCACAAAAGAAGUAAAAACAGCCUUAACUGAUGACAUUCCACCAUUGUGAUUUGUUCCUGCCCCACCCUAACUGAUCAAUGUACUUUGUAAUCUCCCCCACCCUUAAGAAGGUACUUUGUAGUCUCCCCCACCCUUAAGAAGGUUCUUUGUAAUUCUCCCCACCCUUGAGAAAGUACUUUGUGAGAUCCACCCCUGCCCACCAGAGAACAACCCCCUUUGACUGUAAUUUUCCAUUACCUUCCCAAAUCCUAUAAAAUGGCCCCACCCCUAUCUCCCUUCGCUGACUCUCUUUUUGGACUCAGCCCGCCUGCACCCAGGUGAAAUAAACAGCCAUAUUGCUCACACAAAGCCUGUUUGGUGGUCUCUUCACACGGACGCGCGUGAAAAGAAGUUUUGCUAGGGGAGAGAACUGACUCUCCAUGCGUGGCUUUGAAAACCACAAGCUAGGAACAAUU
rnacentral:lncRNA from 10 species